rnacentral:rRNA from 1 species
GGCUCAGGAUGAACGCUGGCGGCGUGCUUAACACAUGCAAGUCGAACGAUGAWGGGAGCUUGCUCCCUGGAUUAGUGGCGAACGGGUGAGUAACACGUGAGUAACCUGCCCUUAACUCUGGGAUAAGCCUGGGAAACUGGGUCUAAUACCGGAUAUGACUCCUCAUCGCAUGGUGGGGGGUGGAAAGCUUUUUGUGGUUUUGGAUGGACUCGCGGCCUAUCAGCUUGUUGGUGAGGUAAUGGCUUACCAAGGCGACGACGGGUAGCCGGCCUGAGAGGGUGACCGGCCACACUGGGACUGAGACACGGCCCAGACUCCUACGGGAGGCAGCAGUGGGGAAUAUUGCACAAUGGGCGCAAGCCUGAUGCAGCGACGCCGCGUGAGGGAUGACGGCCUUCGGGUUGUAAACCUCUUUCAGUAGGGAAGAAGCGAAAGUGACGGUACCUGCAGAAGAAGCGCCGGCUAACUACGUG